rnacentral:rRNA from 2 species
CCCUUUGGGGUGUGACUGCGUACCUUUUGUAUAAUGGGUCAGCGACUUAUAUUCUGUAGCAAGGUUAACCGAAUAGGGGAGCCGGAGGGAAACCGAGUCUUAAUUGGGCGUUAAGUUGCAGGGUAUAGACCCGAAACCCGGUGAUCUAGCCAUGGGCAGGUUGAAGGUUGGGUAACACUAACUGGAGGACCGAACCGACUAAUGUUGAAAAAUUAGCGGAUGACCUGUGGCUGGGGGUGAAAGGCCAAUCAAACCGGGAGAUAGCUGGUUCUCCCCGAAAGCUAUUUAGGUAGCGCCUCGUGAAUUCAUCUCCGGGGGUAGAGCACUGUUUCGGCUAGGGGGCCAUCCCGGCUUACCAACCCGAUGCAAACUGCGAAUACCGGAGAAUGUUAUCACGGGAGACACACGGCGGGUGCUAACGUCCGUCGUGAAGAGGGAAACAACCCAGACCGCCAGCUAAGGUCCCAAAGUCAUGGUUAAGUGGGAAACGAUGUGGGAAGGCCCAGACAGCCAGGAUGUUGGCUUAGAAGCAGCCAUCAUUUAAAGAAAGCGUAAUAGCUCACUGGUCGAGUCGGCCUGCGCGGAAGAUGUAACGGGGCUAAACCAUGCACCGAAGCUGCGGCAGCGACACUCAGGUGUUGUUGGGUAGGGGAGCGUUCUGUAAGCCUGCGAAGGUGGCCUGUGAGGGUUGCUGGAGGUAUCAGAAGUGCGAAUGCUGACAUAAGUAACGAUAAAGCGGGUGAAAAGCCCGCUCGCCGGAAGACCAAGGGUUCCUGUCCAACGUUAAUCGGGGCAGGGUGAGUCGACCCCUAAGGCGAGGCCGAAAGGCGUAGUCGAUGGGAAACGGGUUAAUAUUCCCGUACUUGGUGUUACUGCGAAGGGGGGACGGAGAAGGCUAUGUUGGCCGGGCGACGGUUGUCCCGGUUUAAGCGUGUAGGUGUGUGUUCCAGGUAAAUCCGGUU